rnacentral:lncRNA from 10 species
CGCCUGUGAGUCUUCCGCGAAGACAGCCUGUGGCUCACUCCCGCCCGUUUGGCGUAUUUGGAGACUGAGGCCCGGGGGGCUCCUGCAGCAACUGGAGCUGCGGGGCUGGUUGCCACCUUCCUCCUCCCACACCCGGCAGUCACCGGGAGGCCUCGGGGACUGCGUGAGGACGGGGGUGCGAGGCGCCCCUCGCCGGGGUUGGGGUUCCUGGCUCCCAGGCUGCGCGGGUCCACGUGCCCCGGCCCUGUGGAAACCUGUGGCACUCGCGGGGCCACGGCGGAAGGUCCGAAGGCGGGAGGCUUGCUGUGUCCCCGCACUGGCCUCGGCGCCCCGGCGGCCGCAGUGACGCGCGGGCUCAUACCUGGGCCCGGAGCAGACGCCGGGGAGCUGGCCGCAGAUGAAGCAAAGGAGGAGGUGGCCUGGGGACCCCGGGACAAGGUAUUGCUUUGUUGCUUGGGCUGGUAUUGAACUGGGAAAAUGACCCUCCUAACCCAGCCUCCCAAAAUGCUGGCAGUACAGGGGGGUACCACCACGCCUGGCUGGAAAUAUUGUUUAUACUCCUCGAUCAACUGGAGUGACAGAGGCGGCCUGGUUUUAUCAUUUCAGGUGCUAAUAACAAAAGAAGUUCUGACUCUGGGUACAUGUACCGAUCCACUCCUCCUAUCAGGAUAACAAAAUACCUGGCAUCCCCAAAGUGACAUGCCACAAGUCUUAAAGUGUCUGAUGGCACCAUUUCCCCAGUCCCGUGCAUCACUUAUCGUAGGCAUUGGUGAAACCCCACUUGUCAGCUAGAGUGGUCCCUGCCUGCAC